UGCGUAGGUGGUCAUGUGUGUCGGGUGUGAAAGCCCACGGCUCAACCGUGGAAUUGCAUUCGAAACUGCAUGACUUGAGUGUAGGAGGGGUAAGCGGAAUUCUUGGUGUAGCGGUGAAAUGCGUUGAUAUCAAGAAGAACACCGGCGGCGAAGGCGGCUUACUGGAAUACUACUGACACUGAGGCACGAAAGCUGGGGAGGCGAAGA
rnacentral:rRNA from 1 species